GCUGGCGGCGUGCUUAACACAUGCAAGUCGAGUGCGCGCUUCAGUAGCAAUACUGGAGUGGCGCACGGCGCACGGGUGCGUAACACGUGGGUAACCUGCCCUUUGAUGGGGAAUAACCUCGCGAAAGCGAGGCUAAUUCCGCAUAAGAUCCGCAAGGAUGAAAGCCGUAAGGCGUCGAAGGAGGGGCCCGCGCACGAUUAGCUAGUUGGUAGGGUAACGGCCUACCAAGGCUUUGAUCGUUAGCUGGUCUGAGAGGAUGGCCAGCCACACUGGAACUGAGACACGGUCCAGACUCCUACGGGAGGCAGCAGUGGGGAAUCUUGCACAAUGGGCGAAAGCCUGAUGCAGCGACGCCGCGUGGGGGAUGAAGCAUUUCGGUGUGUAAACCCCUUUCGACCCGGACGAAUGCCUC
rnacentral:rRNA from 1 species